rnacentral:rRNA from 1 species
CAGCAGCCGCGGUAAUACGGAGGGUGCAAGCGUUAAUCGGAAUUACUGGGCGUAAAGCGUGCGUAGGCGGCUUCUUAAGUCGGAUGUGAAAUCCCUGAGCUUAACUUAGGAAUUGCAUUCGAUACUGGGAAGCUAGAGUAUGGGAGAGGAUGGUAGAAUUCCAGGUGUAGCGGUGAAAUGCGUAGAGAUCUGGAGGAAUACCGAUGGCGAAGGCAGCCAUCUGGCCUAAUACUGACGCUGAGGUACGAAAGCAUGGGGAGCAAACAGGAUUAGAUACCCCAGUAGUCCCUGUCUCUUAUAC